CACGCCCUAAACGAUGACAACUAGCCGUUGGGAACUUCGGUUCUUGGUGGCGUAGCUAACGCGAGAAGUUGUCCGCCUGGGGAGUACGGUCGCAAGAUUAAAACUCAAAGGAAUUGACGGGGGCCCGCACAAGCGGUGGAUGAUGUGGAUUAAUUCGAUGCAACGCGAAAAACCUUACCUGGUCUUGACAUGCUAGGAAUCUCUGAGAGAUCGGAGAGUGCCCGAAAGGGAACCUAGACACAGGUGC
rnacentral:rRNA from 1 species